AACGGCCAUACCAUGCUGAAUAUACCCAAUGCUGCUUGACGUUAGAUCACCGAAGUUAAGCAUCAUUGGGCGCGGUCAGUACUUGGGUGGGUGACCACCUGGGAACACCGCGUGCCGUU